CACUAUAAUUUCCCUCCUUUCCCUCGUUUUCUUCUCUGCGCCUUUUUGACCCCCCACACCCCAAUCCCCCCCCGGCGCACGCCCUCUUCCCUCGUCCUCGUCCACCUCGAUCCGGAGAUCCCACAUCUCUGAUCUGAACCCCUGCCUCGAUCGGCCCCCCGCCGCUUUCCCCCUGCCGGAAUCCGACUAGGAAUGAGGCAUAUGCCACGGGUUCUGUAUCGGUGGACGAUCUGGGUGUGUUAGCCUGGAGAUCGGUGGUCUGUGGGGUUUCUGUUUUGUUUUUGGGGUCAUUUUGCGGGUGCCCGUUUGAUGUCGGGCGGCCGAGCUGCUGGGAGCCGCUCCGCACAGGCGUCAACACCGAUCCUCCAACAGCCGAAGCAGCGGCGGCGCGUGCUGUUCUCCUCGGCGAGGCCGCCUUUUGUUACCCCGGACGAGUACCACAGCUUCCCUGCGCCCCAUGGGCGGCCGAUCGCCGGCAACGAGAUGGUCGAUGCCCUGGUCAUUAAAUCCCCUUCAAAGCAGAAGCCUGAAAACAAGGAUAAUGAGGCUGCAGUGUCAAGCGAGUUGAAGACUAGUCCUGGUUAUGCUGGAGCUAAUAAUCCUCUUCUCACACCGGUAACAGGAAAGGGAGGAAAAACAAAUGGCAGAUCCAAGGUAGCAAAGUACAAUAAGUCUGGACCUCAGACCCCUAUGUCAACUGUUGGUUCAGCCUCGGGCAAUGUUCUCACUCCUGUUGGUACUUGUCGUUACGAUAGUUCUCUAGGACUCUUGACUAAAAGGUUUAUCAGUUUGCUUAAACAAGCACAAGAUGGCAUCCUUGAUUUGAAUAAUGCUGCAGAAACACUUGAGGUGCAAAAGAGGCGGAUAUAUGACAUCACUAAUGUCCUUGAAGGGAUUGGACUGAUAGAAAAGAAACUCAAGAACAAAAUCUGUUGGAAGGGAUUAGAUAAUGCGAGGCCAGGGGAGGUUGAUGACGAUCUUUCAGUACUACAGGCAGAAAUUAAAAAACUUGCAUUGCAAGAGCAUGGAUUGGAUGACCGUAUCAGCAAAAUACAAGAAAGAUUACGGGUGUUUUCUGAAGAUGAAAGAAACCAGAGGUGGCUUUAUGUGACUGAAGAUGACAUCAAAGGUCUUCCUUGUUUUCAGAAUGAAACACUUAUAGCAAUAAAGGCACCUCAUGGUACUACACUGGAAGUUCCAGAUCCUGAUGAGGCUGGUGAAUAUCCACAAAGGAGAUACAGAAUUGUCCUAAGAAGCACAAUGGGUCCAAUAGAUGUUUACCUUGUUAGUCAAUUUGAGGAGAAAUUUGAGGAGAUGAACCGUAUUGAGACACCUUUGAGGCUCAAUCCCAUGGCAGAUUCACAGACUGUUGAGAACUCCAUGUUGGCGAUUGCCACAGAAGAGAGCAGAAGAAAGGAAACGGAAUUUAAGGAUCAAGAUUGUCAGAGGGCAUGCCCUGACAUAAGUUCCUCACAGGAUGCUGGUGGUGGUAUGAUGAAGAUUGUUCCUUGUGAUGUUGACACUGAUGCUGAUUACUGGCUUCUAUCAGAGUCUGGAGUCAGCAUUACAGAUAUGUGGAAGACAUCACCGGAGGUCCAGUGGGAUCGGAUCUGUGCGUUUAGCACGGACGACUUCGUUACAAGUGGUGCUGGCACACCUCGGCCACCGGCUCCAACAUCUGGUGUUAUUGACCCUUUGACACAAACUCUACUCGGAAAUAAAUGCAGGGCAGACAAUCUGUGACAUUAAAAUUGAAAACUUCAUUCUCCAGGUGCAUUAAAAUUCUCAUCUCACUGCCACAAAAGUCAAACCGGGAAACAAUUCGGUGAUCAAAGAAUUAAGAGGUGAGGCUAUGCAAGAGCACUCUCGAUUCCGAGAACUAGCCACUGCAGUCCUAUGUGUUGGAUCGAGUAUACAUCUUACUGUAUUGUUCAUAAUGCAACUAUUUAAACAUAUCUUGAGGCUGCUGUUCAUUUUGUUUUGACUACAGAUUGAGAAAGAUAUCAAUUCUUAACGACGAUGGCUUCUUGUCUAUCUUUUCCUAACCUAACGUUGGCUUUCCUCCCUCUUUGGAGCCAUAUAUAUCUCUGCAAAAAAGGAGAAGCAAGAAAAAGAAAGACCAUAUGGAUAAAGCAGGAUAUUAGAGUGCUUGAGGUACAAAUAAAUUCAGCUAUCAUGUUAAAACAAAUUAAUUAUUAUUAAUCCUGAAGCUGGUACAAAAAUGCAUGGGCCAUGAACAGCAGUUAUGUGUAUUUUUUACAGUCUGAUAAGGGCUUAAAAAGAAAAAAAAGCAACAAUUUCCAAAACCCAUAGAAAAA